ACCCGGACUGAUAACUGGAUGGUUUGUCGGAUGGUAAGACUUAUUACCACUAAUAGUCGCCUACUGUCUUUUAAGUGUCCGGAAAAGCAACUGAGGAGUCACCAUAGAUGGUAUGAGAAUUUUUCAAUUGAAAUAAAAUGCUAUGCUCAUACCGUUAUGUCACUUCCUCAACAAUC
rnacentral:snoRNA from 1 species